GACGAACGCUGGCGGCGUGCCUAAUACAUGCAAGUAGAACGCUGAAGGAGGAGCUUGCUUCUCUGGAUGAGUUGCGAACGGGUGAGUAACGCGUAGGUAACCUGCCUGGUAGCGGGGGAUAACUAUUGGAAACGAUAGCUAAUACCGCAUAAUAGUAGAUGUUGCAUGACAUUUGCUUAAAAGGUGCAAUUGCAUCACUACCAGAUGGACCUGCGUUGUAUUAGCUAGUUGGUGAGGUAACGGCUCACCAAGGCGACGAUACAUAGCCGACCUGAGAGGGGGAUCGGCCACACUGGGACUGAGACACGGCCCAGACUCCUACGGGAGGCAGCAGUAGGGAAUCUUCGGCAAUGGACGGAAGUCUGACCGAGCAACGCCGCGGGAGUGAAGAAGGGUUUCGGAUCGUAAAGCUCUGUUGUAAGAGAAGAACGAGUGUGAGAGUGGAAAGUUCACACUGUGACGGUAGCUUACCAGAAAGGGACGGCUAACUACGUG
rnacentral:rRNA from 1 species